GAUGAACGCUGGCUGCGUGCCUAAUACAUGCAAGUCGAGCGAACGGACGAGAAGCUUGCUUCUCUGAUGUUAGCGGCGGACGGGUGAGUAACACGUGGAUAACCUACCUAUAAGACUGGGAUAACUUCGGGAAACCGGAGCUAAUACCGGAUAAUAUUUUGAACCGCAUGGUUCAAAAGUGAAAGACGGUCUUGCUGUCACUUAUAGAUGGAUCCGCGCUGCAUUAGCUAGUUGGUAAGGUAACGGCUUACCAAGGCAACGAUGCAUAGCCGACCUGAGAGGGUGAUCGGCCACACUGGAACUGAGACACGGUCCAGACUCCUACGGGAGGCAGCAGUAGGGAAUCUUCCGCAAAGGGCGAAAGCCUGACGGAGCAACGCCGCGUGAGUGAUGAAGGUCUUCGGAUCGUAAAACUCUGUUAUUAGGGAAGAACAUAUGUGUAAGUAACUGUGCACAUCUUGACGGUACCUAAUCAGAAAGCCACGGCUAACUACGUG
rnacentral:rRNA from 1 species